GAUGAAGAACGCAGCGAAAUGCGAUAAGUAAUGUGAAUUGCAGAAUUCAGUGAAUCAUCGAAUCUUUGAACGCACAUUGCGCCCGCCAGUAUUCUGGCGGGCAUGCCUGUUCGAGCGUCAUUACACCCCUCAGGCCCCCGGGCCUGGCGUUGGGGAUCGGCGGAGCCCCCCGUGGGCACACGCCGUCCCCCAAAUACAGUGGCGGUCCCGCCGCAGCUUCCAUCGCGUAGUAGCUAACACCUCGCGACUGGAGAGCGGCGCGGCCACGCCGUAAAACACCCAACUCUUCUGAAGUUGACCUCGAAUCAGGUAGGAAUACCCGCUGAACUUAAGCAUAUCAAUAAGCGGAGGA
rnacentral:misc_RNA from 1 species